AUGAACAAGAAGGAACGAAGUGCUCGACCGGAAGGGAAAGGAAAAUGGAACGAUUUUCUUUUUUUACUCGCCCCCGGUCUCCUUUGGACCCAAAGCCCGCCCGCAUUCCAGCAAGCUAGCCCCGUAGGUUGGGGGAAGAGGGCAUUUCCAUCGCGAAGGAUUCCAUCCAGCCACAGGUUCCCCUACGGCUACCUUGUUACGACUUCACCCCAGUCGAAGACCCCACCGUGGUAUGCGCCAAUAAGACCACCAAAAGCCUUUGUGGCACUAGUGGUACACAGAAGUCAUGGGUGA